rnacentral:rRNA from 1 species
CACUCUUGACAUCCUUUGACCGCUCUAGAGAUAGAGUCUUCCCCUUCGGGGGACAAAGUGACAGGUGGUGCAUGGUUGUCGUCAGCUCGUGUCGUGAGAUGUUGGGUUAAGUCCCGCAACGAGCGCAACCCUUAAGCUUAGUUGCCAUCAUUAAGUUGGGCACUCUAAGUUGACUGCCGGUGACAAACCGGAGGAAGGUGGGGAUGACGUCAAAUCAUCAUGCCCCUUAUGAUUUGGGCUACACACGUGCUACAAUGGACAAUACAAAGGGCAGCUAAACCGCGAGGUCAAGCAAAUCCCAUAAAGUUGUUCUCAGUUCGGAUUGUAGUCUGCAACUCGACUACAUGAAGCUGGAAUCGCUAGUAAUCGUAGAUCAGCAUGCUACGGUGAAUACGUUCCCGGGUCUUGAACACACCGA